ACAUAUGAAAUAAGAAAAUAUAUGGAUUUUGGAAAAUAUUUCUGAAUCUUAUUAUAUAAAAUAUGGUUUUCAAAAUUAAUAACUCAUAGGAUUGUGCCACGUGUCAAAUUUAUUGAUCAGAUAUUGACAUGUGUCAGAAGAGAUUUAACUUUUGUUUUUCUUAGAAAAAUAGAAAAACA
rnacentral:sRNA from 1 species